rnacentral:rRNA from 1 species
UACGAAGGGGGCUAGCGUUGCUCGGAAUUACUGGGCGUAAAGGGCGCGUAGGCGGUCUGCUAAGUUGGAUGUGAAAACUCUGGGCUUAACCCAGAGCCUGCAUUCAAUACUGACAGGCUAGAGUUCUGGAGGGGAUAGCGGAAUUCCUGGUGUAGCGGUGAAAUGCGUAGAUAUCAGGAGGAACACCGGUGGCGAAGGCGGCUAUCUGGACAGAGUCUGACGCUGAGGCGCGAAAGCUAGGGGAGCAAACAGG